AUUAUUUCACAUUGACAGGUGGUCCCCUGCCAGCAGGACACCAUGAAAUAUUGCCUUUUGGGUGCAGUCUAAGGAACCUUGGGAAGUGCUGGCCCUUCCCUCUCUGCUCAGUGGAAGGCAACGGGACCAAAGUGGGGCCCUGACCACCCAAGGUCACACUGUGUCCCAGCAGAGCCUGCGUGGGCACCAGGUCACUUGUGCCCCAACCUGGAGGUCACCCCAAGCCAUCGCUCUCCUAAGGGUCUCUGGGAAAAGUCCCGGCCGGCCGUGGGAGUCCCCUCAGGCCAGGGAGCGCCCCACCCUUUCCGCGUGGCCUCUGCAGGACAUUACCUCAUCCCUCAUGGGGCGGCUCGGCCCCUGGCCAACAGAUUGCGUUGCAAAUACGCUUCCUGCUCCUCCAGCUCCGGACGGGGAACACCAAGCCGGCCGGGAGGCAGCAGGUCCCACACCUCAGCCUCCACCAGAGCCAUCCUGGAUGUGGCCGAGAGCCCUUCGUAGGCAGUGAACGGUGGAUACGGCGACGGACAAGAUGGAGGUGGCCCCUCUGCUCAAGGGCCUUCUAGAGUGAGAAGCCAGGAAGGAAAAACAGCACAAGACGGGGAAACAGACGGCCUGAGGUUCACUGGUCUGGGCUCACGCUGGAACCCUGUCUCCUCUUACCUCCCGCUUCCGAGGGACGUAUAAACGCAGACGCCCACAGUGUCGGCAGCCUGGUCCCUGGGCAGACCCCUGCGGGCCCCUGCUCCUGUCCUGCCCCCACCCCAGGCCCUUCUCAGCACAGCCCCCGGGGGCCCUAGCACAGCUACACGUUUCUGCUCAAAACACCCAAAUCCCACGAAGGGCCGCACAUCCCUACGUGGCGGCGAGGCUGCCGUUCCCAGUCUGUCCUGGUCCCCACCACUCACCCUUGCACCUGCCUCCUCGGGCCUUCGCGCAGCGGCCUCGGGGCCUUUGCACUGGCUGUCCCCUCUGCCUGGGCCACUGUUUCCUCAGAUGGCCGCGUGGCACUUCCCCCACUUUCUCAAGUCUUAAAGGAGCCACCCUUGACCCCUUCAUUUCGAUUGCCCUUCCCCCACCUGCCUUUCCUGCUGGUUUUCUCUCUGAUAGCCAUCACAUGCAGGUCGUGGGAUUCGCUUCUUUAUGUUGCUUGCUGUCUUUCCCCCUGGACGAGGAUGUCAGCUCCGUGAGGGCAGAAAGUGUCAUUUGUCGCCUUCACUGUCGGAUGCCCAGCACCUAGAACAAUGCCCGGCGCUCAGCAAUAGUUAUCGGUCAUUGAUUAUUCAGUCAAUAGAAUGUUUCUGACAAGGAAUUCUUUUGUUUCUCCUCAACACUUGGCAAACAUUUUCUGUAAUGGACCAGAGAGUAAAUAUUUUCGGCUCGGUCCUGCGGUCUCUGUUGAAACUAACCGACUCUGCCGUUGAGAAGCGAAGCAGCCAGAGGCAGUGCGCCCAUGAAUGCGCACAGCCCGGUUCCAAUAAAACUUUAUUCACAAAAUCAGGGGCCUUCUGCUCCCUGCCCCAAAUUUCGGCGCCAUUCAUAAGCUUCCAAGGCCGUUAGGGCAUUCGCAGCCCUCAGCUCUUCAUCUGCUGAGUCCCCAAGGAGGGGACUGUCCAGGAAAAGACUGUCCCCACUCUGAAGUGGCAAAGGUGAGGCCCAGGAGAGUCAGUGGGGGCACAGGCCCACAGCUAGAAGGUGGGGAGCCCUCCCCUCUUUCUCCCCUCCCUAUCUGACUUCUGGCCCACAGGUAUUACCAAAACACCUGCCCUUUGCUCCCUCUCCCCUGGAAUUCCGCUCAAGCCCUCACACAUGGCCCUCACCCCUCGUGCGCCCUGAGCCCACUCUGUCCUCAGGGUGGAUCUGCCUGGUCCCCCAGAGCUUCCAGGGGAGAUGCCGUGUCCUGAGCCUCAGAAGGAAUGUCUGGUUCAUACACGAACUGCUGUUAAGUCCAUGAGGUCUCCUGGCCAAUGCUGAGGCCACUCUGAGGCUGGGCCCUGUGACGCGGAAAAGCCCCGAGUUCCAUGCUGAACACAACUAGCCUUUGCACAGCGCACGUCUUCCUACCUGCCUCACACCGCGGGGUCCCAAGCGCCACCACUGCCGUUAUAGCUGAGGACACUGAGGCUCGGAGAGGUGAGGUAAGGAGUCUGUGGCUACAGGCAGAACACCAUGUGGGCAACGUCUGUCCCCAGAGAUCACCUCACUGUGUGCCUCUGAAGGAAGGCUCCCCAGAGAAGGAUCCCUGCUGGGUUUUGAGGGAUGAAUAGAAGUUCAGCAAAGGUGAAAAGGAAAACGGCACAAGGCACGUGGGCUGCACUGGGUCUGCAGACGACCGUAGGUGGUAGGAGCCUGUGGAAGCACAGGCUGGGAAAAGAAUGCAAGGAAGCAUCCAAACAUCAUCCCGGACUCUACCCAUGAAAUAGAAUGAAGGUGACCAGCCGUCAGGUGGUUCAGGCGGAAGCCCACCCCCCGCUUCACGUCCUGGAGGUUUGCAGCCAGAGGCUGACCUGGCGUUCCCAGGCAGACGCGGCAGACCAUUUGCCUCAUCCCCUGCUUUGCAGCCCAAGGUUUGGCAGUUUACCUGCUGGGAGGUGCUGAUGGGGACACCGCUGUUAGGAGCACAUCCCAGCCUCCAGACACACUUCACUCACGUGGCUUUAACGCGAGCUCCAGGAACGGCUGUGGUCAGGCUCUGGGUUGGGUGCACAGAAACCUACUCUCACUCGCUCCAGCACAAGGGGUGUGGUUACCAGCAGGCAAAGGGAAGCUCGCAGGCAUCGUGUUCCCCUCAGAUGGAGAUGCUGGAGUCCUAACCCCCAGAACCUCAGAACGCGACCUUAAUAGGAAAUGGGGUCUUGACAGAGGCAAUCAAGUCAAAAUGAGGUCACGAGGAUGGGCCGUCGUCCGAUGCGACUGUACCCUGAUGAAAAGGGGACAUUUGGACAGAGAGUCAUGCAGAGGGAAGUGGUCCAUGCAAAGAAGGAGGAUGGGAGGGAAGUGUCCACAGGCUGAAGAACAGCAAGGCCCAGCAAGCCACCAGAAGCCGGAAGAGGCAGGAGGGACCCCUCCUGACAGGCUUCCGAGGACGGCGUCCCUGCAAUGCCUUGAUUUCAGACCUUUGUACUCCAGAUCGUGAGGAUGAAUUUAUCAUGUUGGGCUAAGCCGCCCAGUUAAGGGUCCUUUGUUCAGGCAGCCCCAGGAGACUCAUACAACAGGUCGCCUCGCACUGAAGUUGAAGGCCGCUGGAUGUCAGGGGAUCUGGGAACGCCGGGGUUUCACAGGGCCCUUCUUCUCUGCUUCUCUCUCCACCUCACUCCCCUCCGCCGUUUUUCUGAAGACGGGAUUCUCUGCUCAUCCUCAGGGCGCGCACAGCCCAGGGUGGGUGCCGGGUCCUGACCAGCCACGAGCUGUCUGCGAAAGCUCCCGACUCCUCCAUCGCCGAUCGUCUCUGUGUCUCUUAGUUCAGAUUCCUAAAGAACCAGCCUGAGAGGCCCCUGGUCAGCCCCAGCGGUCAGCGGGGUCACGGGCCCCUCCGUUGCCCAGCUAGCCUUGGUCAGGGAGGAGGGCGGGUCGUAUGCCGCGGAGCACCAGCGUUGGGGCUGGAGACCUGGCCUUUCCUCUGCGCCAAUCUGCUACACCGACGUGUUCCCGCCGCCGGUGUCUUGCUGGUGACCAUCUGGUGACGACCAGACCCCUCUGCGGUGGAUGGACGGCCGGCCCAUGCACUAUUUGGGAUGUAGCAAAAAUUAUUUGCUGUUUAUCUGAAAUUCAAAUUUACCUGGGCAUCCCGGACUUCCCUGUUUUGCUAAGUCUGGAACCCUGCUGCCGGCUGAGGUUGGGAACUCCUGGCCGACCCCCAGAGGCCGGGGGCUCACGCCUGAGCGCUCUCAGCACUUCUACUUCUGGGAACUUCUGCUCAGGAAACGUUCCAGCCAAGUGCAAAGAUGACCCAUCAGGACGUCCACCCCGGCAUAUGGGUUAACACAGCAGGAGGCUGGCCGCAGCCUGACCCUCUGUGGAUACCGCGGGAAUCAUCUGUGUGGUGGCAUCGCCGGACAGCUUCAAAAGUGACCGUAAUGUAUCGAGCGUCCGUCUGGCCAGUGGGUCUGGGGCCAGAGCAGAGGGAAGAGCUGUGACCACUGGGCAUGCUGAGUUGACAUCACAGACGGGGCAUUGCCCACAGGAGCUUGGCCGGACCAGGGACAGCAGGCAGCGCUGGGGGCCUCCCCGGCCUGGCCCACGCCCAGCUCAGGGCAGCAGAGCCCGAGUCUGCGGGGCUCCCAGGGCCAUUGCUACACUCCAUGCCCAGUCUUCACCCACUGGAGCUCUCCUCGGCAGACGCCCUCACUCCAUCCCAUUGCCCCCAACCUGGGGGACCUCAGGGCAGGGAGUACCGUGAGGUAGUUCCCAUCUCUUGAGGUCAUGCUGCGCCCCAUUUUCUCUUCCAGGCAGCCCUCAGCACUGUGAUUACCCUCGUUUCACACAUGUGAUCUGAGAUGCCCCAGUGCUUAUCGGCUGGACGCCCACAACGUGACAUUCCCUCCUUCCCAUUCCACUGUCAAGCGGCAGAACCUGAGCUGGGCACGGGGCCAUCGGGCCACACACCGCAUUUCCCAGACUCCCUUGCAACAAGCCACAGCCAUGAAACAUCUCCCAUCGUCUUCCUUCCUCCUUCCCCACCUGGUCCCCGAUGGAAGCUACUUCAUGAGGACAUCCGAGCAGGAAGGCUCGGAAAAAGCCCAGUUAGUCCUGGCUGCCCGUCUGGCCCUUUUCGUGAGAAACCAAUUUCAAGAUUGAGCCACCGGAUUUUCAAGUGACUUCGUUAUGCAGCGGCUGUCUACUGACGAAUCCAGCAUCCCUCAGCUCGUCAAGCUGGGGCGCGCACAUCCGUCAUCACGGUGCAGCCCACCUCCGGAUACGCCACUGGGGCAGAUGGAUCCUGGGUGUCUCGCCAGCAAAGCGAGUGUGCUGCGGGCUUCCGAGCACUGUGAUUUGGUUGGCUCUGGGCUCUCCAUACCCAGCCCAGGACCUGGUCCAGGACAGGUGACGGGCAUUGCCUGAGAGCCUCGGAAGCGGACCUGAGCGGGCACUUGGGGAGGAAAAGAAUGCGGAAAACAACCAAUGUUUAUUGAGUGCCAAAGGGUCAGGGUGCUGGGCCAGGCCCUUCAGUGUGCAAACUUGAAUCGUUUAUUAUUAUUAUUUAUUAUCUUUGAUCCGCUCAGUUAUUUCUUUACCUAGAAGGGAUGGGACACUGGGCGAGGCACUUUCCACAUUGUCUAGGUUGCUUUAUCUUGAACAACUUUAUUGAGACCUAAUUCACAUACCUUACCAUUUACCCAUUUGAAGUGUGCCAUUCAGUGGUGUUCAGUACAUUCAGAGUGUAUUUGUCAUCGUGAUCAAUGUUUGAACAUUUUCCUUACCCCCUCCUCCCCCCGCCAAAGAAGCACCACACCUGUAACUGCCACCCCCCAAAUCCUGGCCCCUGGCAACGCUAGCCUACCUUCCGUCUCAAUGGAUUUGCCCUG